AUACGGAGGGUGCAAGCGUUGUUCGGAAUUACUGGGCGUAAAGCGCGCGUAGGCGGUCUGUUAUGUCAGAUGUGAAAGUCCUCGGCUCAACCGGGGAAGUGCAUUUGAAACUGGCAGACUUGAGUACUGGAGGGGGUGGUGGAAUUCCCGGUGUAGAGGUGAAAUUCGUAGAUAUCCGGAGGAAUACCGGUGGCGAAGGCGACCAUCUGGCCAGAUACUGACGCUGAGGUGCGAAAGCGUGGGGAGCAAACAGGAUUAGAUACCCUAGUAGUCC
rnacentral:rRNA from 1 species